rnacentral:rRNA from 1 species
UACGUAGGGUGCAAGCGUUGUCCGGAAUUAUUGGGCGUAAAGAGCUCGUAGGCGGUUUGUCGCGUCUGCUGUGAAAACUCGGGGCUUAACUCCGGGCCUGCAGUGGGUACGGGCAGACUAGAGUGCGGUAGGGGAGACUGGAAUUCCUGGUGUAGCGGUGAAAUGCGCAGAUAUCAGGAGGAACACCGGUGGCGAAGGCGGAUCGCUGGGCCAACACUGACGCUGAGACGCGAAAGCUAGGGGAGCAAACGGG